AAGGAUUACAUAUUUCAUUCCUUGUCAGCUAUAACAACAAAAACAUCCUUAACUGACCAUUUUCUUCUCUCUGUUUUUGCUGGGGGAUUGAUGACUGCUUUGUCUGCAUUAGCAAGACGGUAACCAAUCACAAUCUGUCUCCUUUGCCGUGCACGCAGAAGCACUUCAUAAAAACUCAACUCCACAAUGUCACAAAGGUAUAGGGAUGCUCCUCUUAUUUGCAUCUCAUUUCCCUCUUCAGCAAACAGCUCUUCCAAUACAUCAUUUAUUUGACGAUCCUCUGCCACCAUGGCCAAUGCCAUGCUAACUAGCUCAUUUGACAAAACAUAGUCACUUAUCUUUGACAUA
rnacentral:misc_RNA from 1 species